AUUGAACGCUGGCGGCAAGCCUAACACAUGCAAGUCGAACGAGUCGCGGACGGGUGAGUAAUGACUGGGAAACUGCCUGAUGGAGGGGGUCAACUAAUGGAAACGGUUGCUAAUACCGCCUACCAUCGGCUGUGCCCAGAUGGGAUUAGCUGGUAGGAGGGGUAAAGGCUCACCUAGGCGACGAUCCCUAGCUGGUCUGAGAGGAUGAACAGCCACACGGGAGCUGAGACACGGACCAGACUCCUACGGUAGGCAGCAGUGGGGAACAUUGCGCAAUGGGGGCGAGCCUGAUGCAGCCGUGCCGCGUGUAUGAAGAAGGCCUUCGGGUUGUAAAGUACUUUCAGCGGGUAGGCGUUACCCGCAGAAGAAGCACCGGCUAACUCCGUGCCAGCAGCCGCGGUAAUAC
rnacentral:rRNA from 1 species